AUUGAACCCUGCCGGCAUGCUUUACACAUGCAAGCCGACCGGUGACAGGGUCCUGCCACCGCUUACGAGUGGCGACGGGGGGAGUAAUGCGUGGAAACGGCCCGGGGAGGGGGGGAUAUCGCAACGAAAGUUGUGUUAAUACUGCCUCCUUCGUGAGGUAGCAGGGGGGGUACCUUCGGGCCUCACGCAAUUGUGGCGGCGGAGGUCUGAUUAGCUAGUAGGUGAGGUAAAGGCUAACCAAGGCGACGAUCAGUAGCGGGUCUGGAGAGGAUGAUCCGCCACACUGGGACUGAGACACGGCCCAGACUCCUACGGGAGGCAGCAGUGGGGAAUAUUGGACAAUGGGCGAAAGCCUGAUCCAGCCAUGCCGCGUGUGUGAAGAAGGCCUUCGGGUUGUAAAGGACUUUUGUCAGGGAGGAAAUCCAUAGUGCUAAUACCUCUGGGGGAUGACAGUACCUGCAGAAUAAGCACCGGCUAACUACGUGCCAGCCGCCGCCGUAA
rnacentral:rRNA from 1 species